GACGAACGCUGGCGGCGUGCUUAACACAUGCAAGUCGAACGGAAAGGCCCUGCUUUUGUGGGGUGCUCGAGUGGCGAACGGGUGAGUAACACGUGAGUAACCUGCCCUUGACUUUGGGAUAACUUCAGGAAACUGGGGCUAAUACCGGAUAGGAGCUCCUGCUGCAUGGUGGGGGUUGGAAAGUUUCGGCGGUUGGGGAUGGACUCGCGGCUUAUCAGCUUGUUGGUGGGGUAGUGGCUUACCAAGGCUUUGACGGGUAGCCGGCCUGAGAGGGGGACCGGCCACAGUGGGACUGAGAUACGGCCCAGAAUCCUACGGGAGGCAGCAGUGGGGAAUAUUGCACAAUGGGCGGAAGCCUGAUGCAGCAACGCCGCGUGCGGGAUGACGGCCUUCGGGUUGUAAACCGCUUUCGCCUGUGACGAAGCGUGAGUGACGGUAAUGGGUAAAGAAGCACCGGCUAACUACGUG
rnacentral:rRNA from 1 species